AGCGAACGCUGGCGGCAGGCCUAACACAUGCUAGUCGAACGGAUCCUUCGGGAUUAGUGGCGGACGGGUGAGUAACACGUGGGAACGUGCCCUUUGGUUCGGAACAACUCAGGGAAACUUGAGCUAAUACCGGAUGUGCCCUUCGGGGGAAAGAUUUAUCGCCAUUGGAGCGGCCCGCGUCUGAUUAGCUAGUUGGUGGGGUAAAGGCCCACCAAGGCGACGAUCAGUAGAUGGUCUGAGAGGAUGAUCAGCCACAUUGGGACUGAGACACGGCCAAAACUCCUACGGGAGGCAGCAGUGGGGAAUCUUGUGCAAUGGGCGAAAGCUGGACGCAGCCGUGCCGCGUGAAUGAUGAAGGUCUUAGGAUUGUAAAAUUCUUUCACCGGGGACGAUAAUGACGGUACCCGGAGAAGAAGCCCCGGCUAACUUCGUGCCAGCCGCCGCCGUAA
rnacentral:rRNA from 1 species